rnacentral:rRNA from 1 species
CAUGGCUCAGAUUGAACGCUGGCGGCAGGCCUAACACAUGCAAGUCGAACGGUAGCACAGAGAGCUUGCUCUCGGGUGACGAGUGGCGGACGGGUGAGUAAUGUCUGGGAAACUGCCUGAUGGAGGGGGAUAACUACUGGAAACGGUAGCUAAUACCGCAUAACGUCUUCGGACCAAAGUGGGGGACCUUCGGGCCUCACACCAUCGGAUGUGCCCAGAUGGGAUUAGCUAGUAGGUGGGGUAAUGGCUCACCUAGGCGACGAUCCCUAGCUGGUCUGAGAGGAUGACCAGCCACACUGGAACUGAGACACGGUCCAGACUCCUACGGGAGGCAGCAGUGGGGAAUAUUGCACAAUGGGCGCAAGCCUGAUGCAGCCAUGCCGCGUGUAUGAAGAAGGCCUUCGGGUUGUAAAGUACUUUCAGCGGGGAGGAAGGCGAUAAGGUUAAUAACCUUGUCGAUUGACGUUACCCGCAGAAGAAGCACCGGCUAACUCCGUGCCAGCAGCCGCGGUAAUACGGAGGGUGCAAGCGUUAAUCGGAAUUACUGGGCGUAAAGCGCACGCAGGCGGUCUGUCAAGUCAGAUGUGAAAUCCCCGGGCUUAACCUGGGAACUGCAUUUGAAACUGGCAGGCUAGAGUCUUGUAGAGGGGGGUAGAAUUCCAGGUGUAGCGGUGAAAUGCGUAGAGAUCUGGAGGAAUACCGGUGGCGAAGGCGGCCCCCUGGACAAAGACUGACGCUCAGGUGCGAAAGCGUGGGG